CGCGUCUGUGUGUGUGCAUCUCUGUGUGUGUGCGUCUGUGUGUGUGUGCAUCUGUGUGUGUGUGCGUCUGUGUGUGUGCGUCUGUGUGUGUGCGUCUGUGUGUUUGUGUGCACCUGUGUGUGUGUGCGUCUGUGUGUGUGUGUGUGUAUGUGUGUGGUAAGAGGACCUAAAAUUGACUAUCUCAGCCCAUUUUCCAUAUGCAGGACAAUGUUGUUAACUCGGUUGGUCCUCCUGCUGUACAUCAGACUUCUAGGCUUGGAAUGGACAGGACACAGGUUGACUCACACGGACCCGUCUAUGCCACACAUCUUCCUCAGAAGAGUUCAACAUCUGUGGACACAGGGAGUGAAGGAACGAGGCACGGUCAUGAUGUGAGGCUGGCUCUGGAGCCAAAGGCUGGGUCUGUGCGUGUGUAACAGGCUCUGGUGACUGCUGGGCCAGCCCCAAGGUCAGCCCCUGGCAAACCCCAAGGACGGCACUUUCUGUCUCCCAGAAAGGGGCACUCAGACGUUUAUGGACAGAUGAAGCAGGUGUCAAAAUGGCCUUUUCCUCAGCGCCCUUCCAUGGGUGGGAUCAGAUGCUCCUUCCUCAGCCUUUGUCUUCCCGCUUCGAGACAGGACUGAGUGGCACUGGCCUGCAGGAACCAGGUUCCCCCUCCCUUCACCCCAGAAGGAAGCCCUCUGAGUGAGUGUCCACGGAGGAGGAGGGGCCGCAUCCCACGCUGACCCACGUGGUGCCGGCCUGGCCACCUCACCACCCACCCGAGAAAGACACUAAUCCCCUCCCUGCAGCAUUGGCAGGAGGAACAAAUGAGGUGACAUUCGUAAAAGGAGAAAAUAAAUGUGGCUA
rnacentral:lncRNA from 10 species